GGCCCCCUUACCUGAGUGCCCUCCUCAGAUAACACCUAUUCAAACAGUCCCACUGUUUGGGGUGACUCCUCACCUCAAUUCUCCAUACAAUACCAUAUCUGCACCCAGUUGUUUGAAGACCCUGGAGAGCAACCAAGGGAUCCAGGACUUGAACAUCCAGGAUCCUGGGGAGAAAGAAAACAUGGCGGUACCAUCAUAAACACUGCAAAUAAUAAAAGGAACAACAAAGGAGAACUUCAAAAGGUGGUAAAAGGAAGGCGAAUUGGUCAGGGGUCCCAAGUCUGGAAGAACAAACUUUAUCCGCCAUCCAACAAGAGAGAGAAGGAGAUCCUGACCCAGUUCCAGAAUCCCUACGGCCUCUGCCCUCCUGCAGGAAUCACAGGGUGUGUGAGAUGCCAGGUUCUGCCAGCACCUCCGAUUCACAGACCCCAUACUCGCCUCACAGUUCUGUGCAGAGGGGAGGCCCUACAACUUGAUCAAAGCCGACUCACUCUUUCAGCUGGUUCAGGGGUCCAUAGACCCUAUUGGAAUAAGGGAGGAUGUACCCAUACCUGGAGGAGACCAGGAAGUUGUCACAUUGACUGUACUGUGGACCAUACCUGCUUGUGAAGUCCAGUGUGACUGUCUAAUUCCCAACUAGAAUGGAGCCCUGGAGGGC
rnacentral:lncRNA from 1 species